UUUUGCCCUGGCGGCUCCAGCCGCCGCGGAGCAGGCGUCCCGGGGAGGCGGCGGGGUUGGGAGCCGGGAGGGUCCGGCCCGAGGAGCUCGGCAAACCCACGUGGGCGAAAACUUGCAGGUUUUCAGGAGUUCGGAGCUGGGGAAGAAGGGGUGUUCCCGGGGCUGCGUGUGUCCCGGGGUCACGUCCUGCCGGGACGGAUUUAUUUUUUUUUCCUCUGAUACUUUCCCUUUUCUGGGGCCCUGAGGAUUCCCGGGCGUUCCCCCCUGGGCUGUUGCUCUCAGGCCCCGGGGGGGUCUGGGUUGUUGUCGCUGCGUUUUCAGCUCAUCCCUGGGGGGUGUUGGACACACAAGCCUUAACAGCCCCAUCUACUUAUUUCCCUUUUUUAAUUUAACCGUUUGAUUCAUCUCAUCCAAAUCUUGAUACAGACCCAUAAGCUGAGGGGGGGGUUUGUCGUUGUAAAUUUUCUUGCUCUUGAGAUCUUUGGUCACCUCUGAAGGACUUUCUACAUGGGAUGGGAUGGGAUGAGGGGGAAUGGCUUUAGACUGGAAGAGGGAGAUUGAGGUUGGACAUGAGGAGGAAAUUCUUGGCUGUGAGGGUGGUGAGAGCCUGGCCCAGGUUGCCCAGGGAAGCUGUGGCUGCCCCAUCCCUGGCAGUGUUGAAGGGCAGGUUGGAUGGGGCUUGGAGCAACCUGGGCUGGUGGGAGGUGUCCCUGCCCAUGCAGGGGGUUGGAACUGGGUGGUCUUGAAGGUCCCUUCCCACCCAAACCAGUCUGGGAUUCCAUGAUUCUGCUUUUUCAAGGGAUUCUGUUGUUCUAGGCAGUAGUUGCUUGAGCAGAGUGUGUGUCCUGGCUCCGUUCUUGCACGUUUAUCCAGGGCUGCCUGAAGUCAUGUCUGGUGCAAAAUCAUGAUGGCUUGGAGUGGUGGAGUGACACAGCUGGUGCUCGGGGGAGUCCAGGUGUUGAACAAAGAGUGCUCAGGAGGAGGGAAGGGCAGUACCUGGGUGCAGGUGGGUGAUGGUUCCCACCACGCUCAGCUCAGAAGCUGGCUGCCUGGCUGGGUAGUGGUCCAGGGUGUUGAUGCCCAGCUGGCUCCUGGAGUCCUCAAGGUGUCCUGUGUUGUCACUUCCCAG